UACGGGAGGUGCAAGCGUUGUUCGGAUUGAUUGGGCGUAAAGCGCGCGCAGGCGGUCCUUUAAGUCUGAUGUGAAAGCCCACGGCUCAACCGUGGAGGGUCAUUGGAAACUGGGGGACUUGAGUGCAGAAGAGGAAAGUGGAAUUCCACGUGUAGCGGUGAAAUGCGUAGAGAUGUGGAGGAACACCAGUGGCGAAGGCGACUUUCUGGUCUGUAACUGACGCUGAGGCGCGAAAGCGUGGGGAGCAAACAGG
rnacentral:rRNA from 1 species